rnacentral:rRNA from 1 species
GAGUUUGAUCCUGGCUCAGAUUGAACGCUGGCGGCAGGCCUAACACAUGCAAGUCGAGCGGAUGACGGGAGCUUGCUCCUUGAUUCAGCGGCGGACGGGUGAGUAAUGCCUAGGAAUCUGCCUGGUAGUGGGGGACAACGUUUCGAAAGGAACGCUAAUACCGCAUACGUCCUACGGGAGAAAGCAGGGGACCUUCGGGCCUUGCGCUAUCAGAUGAGCCUAGGUCGGAUUAGCUAGUUGGUGGGGUAAUGGCUCACCAAGGCGACGAUCCGUAACUGGUCUGAGAGGAUGAUCAGUCACACUGGAACUGAGACACGGUCCAGACUCCUACGGGAGGCAGCAGUGGGGGAAUAUUGGACAAUGGGCGAAAGCCUGAUCCAGCCAUGCCGCGUGUGUGAAGAAGGUCUUCGGAUUGUAAAGCACUUUAAGUUGGGAGGAAGGGCAGUAAGUUAAUACCUUGCUGUUUUGACGUUUACCGACAGAAUAAGCACCGGCUAACUCUGUGCCAGCAGCCG